CUAAAGGGCGCUGGGCGCCCUUUUCUGCUGUUGCUUUUAUUUUUGAUAGUUUAAGGGGUUCCGGACGUCCGUUUUGGACGUUCUUUAGGUCGUUCUGGGGGUUUUUGACCCUUCCGGAGCCAUUGGUGAUGGUUUCCAAGCUAUUUGAAUUACCUAAGUAUUGGUAAUUUAAGAUUAUAAGGAUAUUUGUAUUAAUAAGUGAUGUUUUUCUGAAAAUAUGUAAUUCUUGUUUUCUCUUCCUUUCUUGUGUGAUGAUCUAGGUAUCUUUUCUU
rnacentral:lncRNA from 1 species